rnacentral:misc_RNA from 1 species
GACAGCUAAGACAGCAGAUUACUUCUGAUGGAAGCACUAUUCAUCAUGCCUGAUUUCAAGCCCCUUGAGUUUAGAUUCCAGUUCAUCUUCAUUAUCUGCAUCCUCUUCUUUUGCCUCCUCAUCAAUAUCUUCACCUUCUGGAUCAUUCUCAUCCAAAGGCCCAAGUACACCAGGCAAAUUCUUGAAUAUAUCCUUCACCUCAUCAAUCCCUUCAUCAGAUAUAAAAUUGCCAACCAUUUAUAUUUAGCAACUUAAAUCCAGGCUUAAGCACAACAGUCUGUCCCAAGAGCCUUGCCCCAGCCCUUCUGAUUGAGUUAGAGCUCAAAUCAACUUCACUUAACUGGCCAUGACCACUCUCUAUUGCCUUGGCAAUCAAAAUGGCACCUUCAUCCUUAAGUUCAUUCUCAGAAAGGUUUAACUUGCUGAGAAAUUGUUUUGCUGCAAUACAGUCUGCCAAAGAAGAAGCUCCUUUGGCAGUAA